GAUCAUGGCUCAGAUUGAACGCUGGCGGCAGGCCUAACACAUGCAAGUCGAGCGGCAUCGGGAAGGUAGCUUGCUAUCUUUGCCGGCGAGCGGCGGACGGGUGAGUAAAGUCUGGGGAUCUGCCUGAUGGAGGGGGAUAACUACUGGAAACGGUAGCUAAUACCGCAUGAUGUUACGCGACCAAAGCGGGGGACCUCCGGGCCUCGCGCCAUCAGAUGAACCCAGAUGGGAUUAGCUAGUAGGAGAGGUAAUGGCUCCCCUAGGCGACGAUCCCUAGCUGGUCUGAGAGGAUAACCAGCCACACUGGAACUGAGAGACGGUCCAGACUCCUACGGGAGGCAGCAGUGGGGAAUAUUGCACAAUGGGCGCAAGCCUGAUGCAGCCAUGCCGCGUGUGUGAAGAAG
rnacentral:rRNA from 1 species